rnacentral:rRNA from 1 species
GAUGAACGCUGGCGGCGUGCCUAAUACAUGCAAGUCGAGCGAACAGACGAGGAGCUUGCUCCUCUGACGUUAGCGGCGGACGGGUGAGUAACACGUGGAUAACCUACCUAUAAGACUGGGAUAACUUCGGGAAACCGGAGCUAAUACCGGAAAAUAUAUUAAACCGCAUGGUUCAAUAGUGAAAGACGGUUUUGCUGUCACUUAUAGAUGGAUCCGCGCCGCAUUAGCUAGUUGGUAAGGUAACGGCUUACCAAGGCGACGAUGCGUAGCCGACCUGAGAGGGUGAUCGGCCACACUGGAACUGAGACACGGUCCAGACUCCUACGGGAGGCAGCAGUAGGGAAUCUUCCGCAAUGGGCGAAAGCCUGACGGAGCAACGCCGCGUGAGUGAUGAAGGUCUUCGGAUCGUAAAACUCUGUUAUUAGGGAAGAACAAAUGUGUAAGUAACUAUGCACGUCUUGACGGUACCUAAUCAGAAAGCCACGGCUAACUACGUG